CUUUCGGGCGAUGAACUUUUGGGACCAAGUGAUGCCUAUAGAAGAGGCCAUGGAGGCCGUCUGGACCAGGGGCCUUGGAAGGACCCAGUUGAAAGGAUGUUUCAUUUGUAAUAUUCUGAAGUUGUUGCUUGAGUUGCAUAAUACGUUGCCCGGCAUUACUGAAGCGAGAUCGACUCAGUGUAGUGAGCUUAUGAGAUACUGCCUGUAAUUUAGAGGGCAGAUAAUGAGAGUGCAAGACAAGUGGGCAGUGAUCAGAACCGAUCGAUGGUAAGGCGAAGACCAUGGAAGAUGGAUAAGUAAAAUUCCAAUCCGAAGAGCAAAAAGCAUGAUCCAGCUUCUCCUUCACUAGCUCAUCCCCAUCUCGAUUGUUUGA